rnacentral:rRNA from 1 species
CACGUGGGUGACCUGCCCCGAAGUGCGGCAUAACAGGGGGAAACUCUUGCUAAUUCCGCAUGUGCUCCCACCUCUUGUGGUGUGAGUAAAGAUUUAUCGCUUCGGGAUGGGCCCGCGGUCCAUCAGCUAGUUGGUAGGGUAAUGGCCUACCAAGGCUACGACGGAUAGCCGGCCUGAGAGGGUGAUCGGCCACAGGGGCACUGAGACACGGGCCCC